rnacentral:misc_RNA from 1 species
CCGAGUUUACAACUCCCAAACCCAAUGUGAACGUUACCAAACUGUUGCCUCGGCGGGAUCUCUGCCCCGGGUGCGUCGCAGCCCCGGACCAAGGCGCCCGCCGGAGGACCAACCAAAACUCUUUUUGUAUACCCCCUCGCGGGUUUUUUUACUAUCUGAGCCUUUCUCGGCGCCCCUUCGUGGGCGUUUCGAAAAUGAAUCA